GAUCCUGGCUCAGAGCGAACGCUGGCGGCAGGCCUAACACAUGCAAGUCGAACGGACUCUUCGGAGUUAGUGGCGGACGGGUGAGUAACACGUGGGAACGUGCCUUUAGGUUCGGAAUAAGCCCGGGAAACUGGGUCUAAUACCGAAUGUGCCCUCGGGGAAGGAUUAUCGCCUUUAGAGCGGCCCGCGUCUGAUUAGCUAGUUGGUGGUGUAAUGGACCACCAAGGCGACGAUCAGUAGCUGGUCUGAGAGG
rnacentral:rRNA from 1 species